GGGGGUACCAGCUGGGAAAGAGGAGCAGGCAUUUGCGGAGAGAAGGAAGUUGGAGGACUUACGGAUCAAGCUGGGUUCGUACCCUGGAAACAGAUUAUUUUCAGCUGCAGGAACCUUAGAGGAAACGGGUGCUCAGAGAUGCACGUAACCAGUUUUUGGAACAAAGGUUUUGCUCUGCAUCUAUCACUUCCUGAGUCAUCUGGGUGCUGGGGAGACAGCCAGGAAAGAUGUAGGAAGACAUAUUCAAAUGGUCUUAUCAGAUGCUAUGCUAAAAAGAGCAACAAUGUAAUGUGACUUGUUUGCAAGGUUUGGAAUGAAAGGAAUGAAGCAGAGCUAAUUUCAGUAAGCUGUGAUCAAUGCUUUGAGUAACACGCUUAUUCAGUUGUCUCAGGCCAUGGAUGUCAUAUAUGUAGGUGGAGGUAUGAAUACUCUUAAACUUUUGACACAGGAGCACAAUACCAGUGUUUAUUGGAGUUGUUAUUGCAUGCAGUAUCAUCUAGAGGCUCUGAAUUUUAUCAAGGCCCUCUUUUGAUAGGGGCUAAAUAUAAGAGAUUUUUGUCUUCUGUACAAGUAAACAAUACUUCCAAAUGACUGAUGUCUCAUCUUCAUAUACAAGUCAGGGGUGGAGGAAUAAAAUGCUAUUCCUGAAGAAAUGUGGUAAUCCAGAAAUUGAAAAUAAUUUUUUAUCUUUUUUGCUCCUAAUUUUAUGAUGUAGGAGAUGUUGUUAUUGAGGACACAGACCAACAUUUUAAAACAAUCUUUUUUCUAGUGUUAGUAGAAAGGUUUUUACUGGUCGUAUUUCCCCCAUCAAAGCAUCUUUGGAGAUAACACUAAA